GGGGGGGUGGGGGGGAUAGAGACAUCCCAUAAUAAUCCUAGGCACACUCCCCCCCCCUCCUUACAACACUCACUCAACUCUGCAUAGUUACCUCGCAGCCUACAGACCAUAAUAAUCAUCCCCCCCUCGCACACAGUACCAGCAAGUACACACUGCCUUCCCCUUACUUAGUCCCUGCCCCCUUAGCAACCACGUUGCUAUGGAGACACUGCCCCCUCCCGCCCUCUCCGGCAUCCCAUAAUAGUCAUAAGCAGACUGCUCUGACAUCCCAUAAUAAACACAAGUCCUAAAAGAGAGGGAAGGAAAAAAACAACACCAGUCACAUGGUCUCCAGGGAAACCCCAGGCCACUGGUGACAGACCAUAAUAAUCUGUGGCUGUCUGUCCACCUGGCUCAGGCUUUGGUGCACGAACAACAGAAAAUACAUAUGAGCACCUGGUUGGAAGUCGGGCUAACACGGAGUGCACUUCGGGUGUCUGUCAAACAUCACACACCUACAAGAGUGACACUUCACGGUUUCAGAGGGGCUGAAAUGUCAAGGUGCAACAGUGCUUCUUUUUAGUCCCAUAUCAGACCGAGUCUGAAGAGUGACUCCUGAGGGAAGCGGCAGAACUAAAACUCAAACUCUCAUGAAUGGGAUAUGCCCUGACAAUCCUGAAAUAGAACCUCACACACGUUUAGACUCUCUGACCUCCGGAGACUUGCUGACUUCAGCUACCUGUGCAUUACAACAGGUACGGCUGACACGUGUGGGCUCUCACACAGCUCUCAUUCCACGGGACCCCCAAGUGAAGCCUCCAGCCGCACAGGACCUAGUUUACCUUACUCCUUCACCAGAUUUCUGCCGCUUGGAUCCAGACAAUGGCAUUCAUGGCACUGCAAGACGACGUUGUAAUGAACCUCACGGUUGGCACCAGAUGGAUGUGAACUGCCGCGAAUGAGACUUUCCUGGAGAAACCAAACACACCAGAAGCACCUCAUCUCAUGCCAGCCUGCAUUAACUCCCACAUGAUGAGCAACAAACCAGCUCCAUUUAAAACAUUCUGCAUCAUGUCUCCUUUUUGGUGACUUUAAAGUUCUUUCGGAUAUGUCAUUAUAUUAUACAGUUAUUUUAAUCUGCAAUUGCAUUUUUGAUGAAAAGUAAAGUGUUGAACUUGAACAUACAGACACUAUUACAGUUCUUAAAUGCUCAAAUACACAUAACAUACAAAACCAUUAACUAAUUGCUCAGACAAUGCUCAUAAAGGCUGAGAUUAACCUCUGAAUAACAGCAGAAGAAUGCCAGUUUAGUCUAAGGCCUUAGUAUCAAUUUCUAGUCGAGUUGCACUCACUCCCAUGCAUGUUUACUGUCAGGUUUGCUGAUUGUGUUUAUUUUAGUUCAUCAUGCCUGUGUGGCAUUAUGUGUGGAUGGAAAAUUCCACCUGCAAACUCUCCGGCUUUAGCGGUUUUGUUUCAGCUCGUCCUAUUGCAUAGAGGCUCAUUGCCAUUGUCUCAUUUCAUAAUCUAUACGGCCUAAAAUAAAGUUGUUUGACAUGUGGAAAG